rnacentral:lncRNA from 1 species
CUGGUUUGUGAGUUAUGAUUUUUUGAAUUAGGGUGUGACAAUUUGUGUCACACCAUUGAUGUGCAACUUCAUGAUUUUUGAUACCAUGCUUCUUGACCUCCAAUUGAUGUGAAUUUUUGCAUGAACCUACUCUAGUAUGUCUAGUUCACAUGUGAUUUUUUGUGGAAUUAUUUGAGGCAUUUCCUAAUUGUUUGAGAUUUUCUCCCCUGUUUGACCAAAAUGUUGACCUCAUGUGAUGCAUGUUGCCAUUUCAUUUGUGAAAUUCU